GUGGGACCCACUGAUGUCCGGAACCGGGCAGUGGACGGACGAGGACUUCAGAGGUUGGGCUGAGAAGGGCGAGACUGAGACAACCCUGCGCCGCCCCUACGACCGGGGGUAGGGGGUCGGGGAGACAGAAGAUGAAGGAACAGGCAGAGCACAUUAAGUAACCUGAUCAAGCCCACAACUUGGUGCUGUUUGCCUGUCUGUUACUUUGGAAGCCAAGACAAGAGGAUCAUGGGUUUAAGACCAGCCUGGCAGUGCAGCAAAAGAAAAAAACAGGGGCCAGCGGUGUGGUGGUUAAGGUGCUGGACUCCUGGGACCAGCAGUUAGCGUAAUGGCUAUGUCACUGGACUCCCACG